CCUACGGGAGGCAGCAGUGGGGGAUAUUGCACAAUGGGGGGAACCCUGAUGCAGCGACGCCGCGGGGGUGAAGAAGCGCCUCGGCGCGUAAAGCCCUGUCAGCAGGGAAGAAAAUGACGGUACCUGAAGAAGAAGCCCCGGCUAACUACGUGCCAGCAGCCGCGGUAAUACGUAGGGGGCAAGCGUGCUCCGGAUGUACUGGGUGGAAAGGGGGCGCAGACGGCGAUGCAAGCCAGGAGUGAAAGCCCGGGGCCCAACCCCGGGACUGCUCUUGGAACUGCGUGGCUGGAGUGCAGGAGGGGCAGGCGGAAUUCCUGGUGUAGCGGUGAAAUGCGUAGAUAUCAGGAGGAACACCGGUGGCGAAGGCGGCCUGCUGGACUGCAACUGACGUUGAGGCCCGAAAGCGUGGGGAGCAAACAGGAUUAGAUACCCGGGUAGUC
rnacentral:rRNA from 1 species